rnacentral:rRNA from 1 species
AUACGGAGGAUGCAAGCGUUAUCCGGAUUUAUUGGGAUUAAAGGGUGCGUAGGCGGUUUGCUAAGCGGGAGGUGAAAUGCCGGCGCUCAACGUCGGAAGUGCCUCCCGAACUGGUGGACUUGAAUGACUCUGCCGUGGGAGGAAUGUGUAGCGUAGCGGUGAAAUGCUUAGAGAUUACACAGAACACCGAUUGCGAAGGCAUCUCACGAAGGGUUGAUUGACGCUGAGGCACGAAAGCGUGGGGAUCAAACAGGAUUAGAUACCCUGGUAGUCCACGCAGUAAACGAUGAUGGCUAACCGCUGGGCUUAUCAGUUCAGUGGCCAAGCGAAAGCGAUAAGCCAUCCACCUGGGGAGUACGACCGCAAGGUUGAAACUCAAAUGAAUUGACGGGG